AUGUUUAGUACUUCAGGUGCUUCUCUAGCGUAUAAUGUAAAUCUCGUAGCGGAUCAAUUCCAACGAGCCUUUCAAACUAGUACUUUUUGUAAUCGACUCUAUAGCUUCUUCAAUAAACGUUGGUUCUUCGAUCAAGUUUUGAAUGACUUUCUAGUCAGAUCGUUUCUGCGUUUCGGAUAUUCAGUCUCAUUCGAAGCUUUAGACAAGGGUGCUAUUGAGAUAUUGGGCCCUUAUGGUAUCUCGUACACAUUCCGACGAUUGGCCAAGCGAAUAAGUCAACUUCAAAGUGGAUCUGUUGUGCGAAGAGUGCGUUAUGAACCGUGGCCGCCUACCUGCUUUGGUUGGUGGGGGCGGCUCCUCCGUUGUGGGUAA
rnacentral:rRNA from 1 species